rnacentral:rRNA from 1 species
AGCGUGCGCAGGCGGUUUUUGUAAGACUGUCGUGAAAUCCCCGGGCUCAACCUGGGAAUGGCGAUGGUGACUGCAAGGCUAGAGUUUGGCAGAGGGGGGUAGAAUUCCACGUGUAGCAGUGAAAUGCGUAGAUAUGUGGAGGAACACCGAUGGCGAAGGCAGCCCCCUGGGGUCAAAACUGACGCUCAUGCACGAAAGCGUGGGGAGCAAACAGGAUUAGAUACCCUUGU